rnacentral:rRNA from 1 species
GACGAACGCUGGCGGCGUGCUUAACACAUGCAAGUCGAACGGAAAGGCCCUGCUUUUGUGGGGUGCUCGAGUGGCGAACGGGUGAGUAACACGUGAGUAACCUGCCCUUGACUUUGGGAUAACUUCAGGAAACUGGGGCUAAUACCGGAUAGGAGCUCCUGCUGCAUUGUGGGGGUUGGAAAUUUUCGGCGGUGGGGGAUGGACUGGCGGCUUAUCAGCUUGUUGGUGGGGUAGUCGCUUACCAAGGCUUUGACGGGUAGCCUACCUGAGAGGGGGACGGCCGACUAUGCGCCUGAGAGAGGGAGCAGUCUAGGACAGGGGGAAACGGGGGGAAUUCUGACACAGCGAGAGGGCGCGGUAUCAGAAAGCGCUCCGGUGGGAAUGCCGUCUUGGUGGUAGAGAACCAUUUCCGGUUGUAACAAGGCGGGUCUGCGGGUAAUCAGAAAAGAAGCACCGGCUAACUUCGUG